UACGUAGGGGGCAAGCGUUGUCCGGAUUUAUUGGGCGUAAAAGGCUUGUAGGUGGCCACGCCAAGUCGGAUGUGAAAUCUCCCGGCUCAACUGGGGAGGGUCACGCGAUACUGAUCGACUCGAAGGCAGGAGAGGGUAGUGGAAUUCCCGGUGUAGUGGUGAAAUGCGUAGAUAUCGGGAGGAACACCAGUGGCGAAGGCGACUACCUGGCCUGUUCUUGACGCUGAGGCGCGAAAGCUAGGGGAGCAAACGGG
rnacentral:rRNA from 1 species